ACGAACGCUGGCGGCGCGCCUAACACAUGCAAGUCGAACGAGAGAGAGGGAGCUUGCUUCCUCAAUCGAGUGGCGAACGGGUGAGUAACGCGUGAGGAACCUGCCUCAAAGAGGGGGACAACAGUUGGAAACGACUGCUAAUACCGCAUAAGCCCACGGCUCGGCAUCGAGCAGAGGGAAAAGGAGCAAUCCGCUUUGAGAUGGCCUCGCGUCCGAUUAGCUAGUUGGUGAGGUAAUGGCCCACCAAGGCAACGAUCGGUAGCCGGACUGAGAGGUUGAACGGCCACAUUGGGACUGAGACACGGCCCAGACUCCUACGGGAGGCAGCAGUGGGGAAUAUUGCACAAUGGGGGAAACCCUGAUGCAGCGACGCCGCGUGGAGGAAGAAGGUCUUCGGAUUGUAAACUCCUGUUGUUGAGGAAGAUAAUGACGGUACUCAACAAGGAAGUGACGGCUAACUACGUGCCAGCAGCCGCGGUAAAACGUAGGUCACAAGCGUUGUCCGGAAUUACUGGGUGUAAAGGGAGCGCAGGCGGGAAGACAAGUUGGAAGUGAAAUCUAUGGGCUCAACCCAUAAACUGCUUUCAAAACUGUUUUUCUUGAGUAGUGCAGAGGUAGGCGGAAUUCCCGGUGUAGCGGUGGAAUGCGUAGAUAUCGGGAGGAACACCAGUGGCGAAGGCGGCCUACUGGGCACCAACUGACGCUGAGGCUCGAAAGUGUGGGUAGCAAACAGGAUUAGAUACCCUGGUAGUCCACACCGUAAACGAUGAUUACUAGGUGUUGGAGGAUUGACCCCUUCAGUGCCGCAGUUAACACAAUAAGUAAUCCACCUGGGGAGUACGACCGCAAGGUUGAAACUCAAAGGAAUUGACGGGGGCCCGCACAAGCAGUGGAGUAUGUGGUUUAAUUCGACGCAACGCGAAGAACCUUACCAAGUCUUGACAUCCCUUGACGAACAUAGAAAUAUGUUUUCUCUUCGGAGCAAGGAGACAGGUGGUGCAUGGUUGUCGUCAGCUCGUGUCGUGAGAUGUUGGGUUAAGUCCCGCAACGAGCGCAACCCCUGUUUCUAGUUGCCAGCAUGUAAAGAUGGGAACUCUAGAAAGACUGCCGUAGAUAAUACGGAGGAAGGUGGGGAUGACGUCAAAUCAUCAUGCCCUUUAUGUCCUGGGCUACACACGUACUACAAUGGCGUUAAACAAAGAGAAGCAAGACCGCGAGGUGGAGCAAAACUCAGAAACAACGUCCCAGUUCGGACUGCAGGCUGCAACUCGCCUGCACGAAGUCGGAAUUGCUAGUAAUCGUGGAUCAGCAUGCCACGGUGAAUACGUUCCCGGGCCUUGUACACACCGCCCGUCACACCAUGAGAGUUGGGGAUACCCGAAGCCUGUGAGCCAACAGUUAAAUGGGGCAGCAGUCGAAGGUAGAAUCAAUGAUUGGGGUG
rnacentral:rRNA from 1 species